AUUGAACGCUGGCGGCAUGCCUUACACAUGCAAGUCGAACGGUAACGCGGGGCAACCUGGCGACGAGUGGCGAACGGGUGAGUAAUGUAUCGGAACGUGCCCAGUUGUGGGGGAUAACUGCUCGAAAGAGCAGCUAAUACCGCAUACGACCUGAGGGUGAAAGCGGGGGAUCGCAAGACCUCGCGCAAUUGGAGCGGCCGAUAUCAGAUUAGGUAGUUGGUGAGGUAAAGGCUCACCAAGCCGACGAUCUGUAGCUGGUCUGAGAGGACGACCAGCCACACUGGGACUGAGACACGGCCCAGACUCCUACGGGAGGCAGCAGUGGGGAAUUUUGGACAAUGGACGCAAGUCUGAUCCAGCCAUGCCGCGUGCGGGAANAAGGCCUUCGGGUUGUAAACCGCUUUUGUCAGGGAAGAAACGCGUCCUGGGGUUUAAAUACCUCGGGGUAAUGACGGUACCUGAAGAAUAAGCACCGGCUAACUACGUGCCAGCAG
rnacentral:rRNA from 1 species